GAUCUCCUGACCUCGUGACCUGCCCAGCUCGGCCUCCCAAAGUGCUGGGAUUACAGGCAUGAGCCAUUGCGCCUAACCUCAGAAACCAUUUUUAUAACCUCAAUACCUAAUAGAAACUGGCACAUGGCCCCUGUGAGCUGUGACUGCAAGAGUCAGCACCUAAAUUAGAUCAACACUACAACAUCAAAAAGCCAGCUUGAUGGCACAGCGGGGAGUGAGGAAGACUCGGUGGACAAAUCUGACUGGAAAACAAGUAGGCGUUGCAGAUGAAGACCUGGAACCAUGGUAGGAAGUGGGACAGGGAGCAUUUGGACAAGCUGUUCAAGAACUGAUCAUGCUCAUGUGUAUGGGAAAACAGAUGGAGGAAGAGAAAUUCCUGAAGAGCACAAGACUGGUGGGGCAAGGAACAAGCCUACUGAGAUGAGUUGCAGAUUUGAAGAUGGGAGAAAUGGUUUCGUUGUCUACCAUGUAAAAACUCAUUUAUGCAAGAUGCUUGAUAUCUGAAUUUCAAUUUCUUCAUUAUCAAAAUGAAUAUUAAAAAUACUCUACUUCUUAGAGUUGUCAAAAAGAU
rnacentral:lncRNA from 1 species